GUUUUAUAAUUUUAUACUAUAAUUUAUAAUGAAAAUUUUAAUUUAUAUUAAAUAAAUUAUUUUGUUGGGGUGAUAAUAAAAUUUAUCUAACUUUUAUUAUAUUUUUACAUUAAUUUAUGAUUAUUUGAUCCAAUUAUAUUGAUUAAAAAUUUAAAU
rnacentral:rRNA from 1 species